rnacentral:rRNA from 1 species
UACGGAGGGUGCAAGCGUUAUCCGGAUUCACUGGGUUUAAAGGGUGCGUAGGUGGGCAGGUAAGUCAGUGGUGAAAUCUCCGGGCUUAACCCGGAAACUGCCGUUGAUACUAUUUGUCUUGAAUAUUGUGGAGGUAAGCGGAAUAUGUCAUGUAGCGGUGAAAUGCUUAGAUAUGACAUAGAACACCAAUUGCGAAGGCAGCUUACUACACAAUGAUUGACACUGAGGCACGAAAGCGUAGGGAUCAAACAGG